UGCAGCCCGGCCGGGGCAGCUCCGCAGCGAACCGGGGCUCCUGCGGGGUGCGGCCCGCUAGGGCACGGCUUUCUGCUGACGUUCAACGUGCUGAAUGCGGGGUUUUCAAAAACAGCCUGCAGACGUUGACGUUUAAACUCUGAAUUCUGUUUCUUCCUGUUGGAAUUCAAACAGUGGCUGGGUCUUUUCAGCAGUUCAUAUCUAAGUUCUUAACUCCUUAUGCAUCGGCUCCAGUUCCAAUACGAGGAACGAAUACUCAUAAGCUUGCAGUGAAGAAGAAAACGUAUAUCUGUGUUUACAUGCAGUAACGGUGCUGUGAUAUGAUCCCAGCAGCACUCAUACUGCAAAUCCUGCAUAAGGAACAGUUCAGUGCCAGCACCUGGACUCCAGGGAGCAGCCACACACCCAUCCCUGGAGUUAUCCAGAGCAAGCCAUGAGCAGCACCUACCGGCACCUCCACUUCCUCUUCACAGAACAUCGCUUAACAACACCCACCAUCUGUAUCUUCCUACAGCCACACAAGUGUUCUCACAAAGAAGGAACACGCAAGACUGUGCCGUAUGGUGCUGAGCACGUGAAAUCUACAGAAUGUUCUUUGAUAUAUCUGCUACUCAUUCAGAAAAAAAUACUGUUAAAACAUUUCUAUAGGAAUACACCCCAAAUGACUGCAAACAUCACAAGUGACAUGCACAGCUAAGCAAAACCAAAGUGUAGCACAAUCCCAGAAGGAAAUAAGCAAGGACUGAAAAAGGAAGUGAAAAAAGUACUCUUGCUUUUACAGUUUUACAGUACCCAGAACUUAAUUAGUAAACACACUCUUCCAGUUCAAAAUUAAGGGCAUUUUUACUUGACUCUUUCAGCUUCUAUUCUUCACAAAAACUUCCCAAAACACUCAUAUGUCCUGUAAUUACUACAAAGACACCUUUUGGAAGAUCCCUACUUGUAUGGCCCUACUGUGGGAACUCUGUUUCUGAACAGCACUUACACCACGUGCUGUAAUUCAACAUUGCUUCAUCAAUAGAGAUGUACAACCUGAUAAACACUAAGGUAGUUCUCUAUAUCCUACAUUCCUCAGCACUCUUAAACAAACUUGAUAUACUUCUAGUACCUAGAAAGAGCAGAUAAUACUCUUUACUGGAUCUGACUAUUACCAAGCUAAGUUAAAGUAGUCUUUUCUUAAACAAACAUACCAGAGUUUCUUAGUUUUGAAAAAAUACUUCAGGUUCAUAAAAAAAAAAAAACUCUUACAGUUACUCAAAAGAAAUAUUAGCUAUAAUAAGAGCUUUUAAGAUCUUAAAACAUCAAUACUUAAAAAAAAAAACAAAAAACUAAAAACCACAAAGCUAGGUACCAGGCAGAUAGCCUACAGACUGCUUACAAAAAUUACAAACAGAACUAAUAUAUCUUACCUUAAAAAAAAAAUAGAAAAUUGCUAAAUUACCUGUCCAAGAGAUAAGCAAAAAGCAACAAACAACCUUCACAAGCCAUUUCAACAUCCAAAACUAACAUGCAGACCCUUAUAUAGUUGAAAACUCCCAGAAAGCUGUGUGAGUUAAUAGGUGGGGUGAGGGCCCUAAGCAGCCCCACCUGGGGGCCUCACCUACACCGCACCAGAACCUAUAUAAGCACAGCCCCAAGGUAACUGGAUUUGUGCUUUUUGUUGUUGGGUAGAAGGUAUUUUUGCUUGUUUGUUUGUCUGGUUGUUUGUUUUCUGUUGUUGAGUAGUUUAAUUUCUUUGUGAUAUUGGGUUUCAGCUGGAAUUGGAGUUACAGCUCUAUCAUAAAAUUGUUUUGUUAGAAAUACAAUUGCUAAGUCAUGUUUACAUAUGGCUUUUGUCAUUAGGCUGUUUUUGUGUGGUUUAAGUUUUGACUUUUUGUUGUAGGUCCUAUUUUCUCUGCUUAUGUGUAGUAUAUGUACUUGCCUUACUAAUUUUCUUGUUUAGGUACUAUAGUAUGUGUACUUCCCUUAUUAACUGUAUUCCUCUAUUCAGUUCUUUUUUUAUAAGGGAAGUUUUUGCUCUUACUGUUCUCUUUUAACCUGAGCUGUUUAGUAUUAAAAUGAGGAAAUACUUCUGCAAUUAUCUCACAGACUUUGGUUCAGGUAUAACCUUUACUUUUAAGCUUUACUUUUUACAUUCAACUGUUGUAUAUUCAUAUUCUUAAAGUAAAGAAUUGCAGUCUUCGUUGAUUAAAGUUUAUGAUGAAAAUCAAAGGCAUGAUUUUCUGUUUUUAUAGACUCUUUAAUCAAAAUGUACUCAAAAUAAUGAAGAAUUUCCUUGAAAAAGGGUAAAUACUGAGUUAUCACUCAUUGAGUCAAAAUCCUGUAUUAUCACUUUCAUAAGGUUUCUGCAAGUUUAAAGUACAGAAUUUCAUUGUAGGAGGACCUAAUACACUUCAAAUAAAAGGGAUUUCUUAUUAAAUAAAUAUAAAACAAAGUUUUGAGGAAAUCAGUAUCUUCAAACAUCAUAGUUACAUUCAGAUAGAACAGGUAACUCAAAAGUAGUCUUUUUUUUCUGAAGAAUGUAAGACUUGAGUCAUGAAAUACUAAGAAUGAAAAGAAAUCUAUUUUUUGGACAGGCAACUGUUUGUAGGCAAAAUCAAUGUCUUGAGGCUUUUAAAAUACUGUACAGCAUUUGUGUGUAUCUUUAGAGAUGGGGUGUUACUUAAGUAACCUGUGUUUCUCUGGUAUCCUUUCUGUAGUGCUACUUCCCUGCUGGGCACUCUUAUUCUUGCCUUGCAGCUUUUUUUCCCCUGAGAAUAACAGUAUUUGGAACUGGUGGAAUUAUUUUUCCUUUGUUUUGGCUUUAGCAUGUUUUCUGGUCUUGAACUGGUAUGAUAUUUAGGCUAUAACCUGCACCCAGAUCAGCGCUUUCAACAGUGGCAGUUGUAAGCACUGUAACUCUGUUGUCAAAGAAAUGAAAUUGGAUGUUUGAAACUAAAUUAAACUGAAAAAUGACCUCAGUGGAAACAAGUAUGAUGUGGUUAAGUAAGCUCUGUUGUAUUACUUGUACUGCUUAAAAUAAAGUCCUAGUCCUCCUAAAGUAUUGCUUGUAAAGUCUCAGUCCUCCAAAAAUGCUUGAAUGUAUUCAGUAUUAACCCACACAGGCAGACUCUGAUUUAUCAGUUGGAUGGUCACUCCGUUGUGUGUGUGUGUGUGUUUGAAGCUGCGUGAUAAAUAAAGCUCAGGUAACAGCCCCUGUUCUACAAAGUGUUCUGUGUCCUUCAAGAGCCUGAUCUGUGAAGGAAAGCUGUCUUUAGAGUCUUAAUACAGCAGAAGCAUACCCAAAUUAGCCUCUGCUAACAAAUCACAGUGUCCUGAAUCACACAACACUUCUGUAUUCUGGCACCAGUCUUAACAAAGGCAUGGUACCUCUUGUCAGGAUGAAACAAUUUGGAACCACAUGCUAGGAAAGGCAGUUUGGAGGAAUCACAGGAUCUGAAUUUAUCAUUGCAUUUUUGUAGAAGCUAGUAAGGGUCCAAAGUGUUGGCCUUGAAAAAUUUUGUGCUGGUGGAGAUUUAAUUAACUUGGCUUGAAACUAGAGCACAGCCAGUAUUCAUUUUAUCCCAAACCAAACAAUCCUUCAGCUGUGACUUUUUUACUGUUUUGACAUAUUCUAAUUUAUCUUGUGUAUAUCCCGAGGAUCAUUCAGUCAGAUGACAUAAACUGGUUGCUUGUUCUUAAUGGCCUUUUUUUGAACUGUGUUGCAGAAUUGGGUAUGAUUUCAUGAAAAACUAUUUAUCUUCACACUAGUCCACAGUAUUAAGCCAGAAAUGGCUUUUGGCUCCUGCAGUGGGUAAUACACAGAAUUCAAAGAUAUGAUAUUAGGUGAGGAUGCUGCUUGACUCACAGAUGACCUUUGUGGCUGUGCAGGAGGCUACUCAUACUGAAGUCACACUGCUUAAACUUGCUGCACACGCCUGUACUACUUCGUUUAUGGGGAAACAAGGGCAAAUGAAAAAUGAAUUUCUUGUUGCUUCACACCUUAAAUAAACAGGUAGAUGAAUUAAAUAUAACCUGCAUUUUCAGUCUGUAAAUAUGAGUACUAUAAGCAGAGUUGUAGCUCUGUGUUGUGGCUGAUUUUCCCACAAAACUUUUAACAGCAUAAUGUGUGAUAGAGAUUAUAAUUGUCCUGAUACAUUUAUCAUAGUCAAACCUGCUACAACUAGCUUUUCUUCCUUUUUCCCUCAGGCAGAGUAAGUGCAUCUUUUCUUCUUCUCUUACUUUUGGGCUAUUGACAGCUACAAGGCUAUUAGGAAAAAAAGCCAGUGUCCCACUUAAUUUAUCUAUUUGUUUUGAUUGUUUCUUAAUCAUCCCUAUCGGGUGUUACUGCACUUCAGUUGAAUUAUAACAGAUAAUUGUUCUAUUAACUUGUGUGAAUUUCAGCUAACAAAUAAUUUUUAUUAGAUGGUAAAUAUUUUGUUUGGGUACACAUGCAUCUAGCUGUAUAUGAUUAAAAAGUAUUGCCAAAAUGCAGUAUUUGUUAUUAUGCUGCUAGGAAAAAGCUGCCACUCAUUGCCUGCAAAUUCCUGAGAGUGCCCAUGUAUUGUCUUACUGAUUUUGUGGAAGUGAUUAUCUGAUGCUGAGCAUAUGAAUGGCAUGAGCUGACAACAUUGAGUAAAAUUGAGGCCAAGUAAAAUGUGUUCCAGGUAUUUGGUGUUAAUUUUUGGAUGUUUCUAGUGUAUAUAUUGUGUUAAUAUUUAAGUACAGUGUUUG